rnacentral:lncRNA from 1 species
CUCAUGCUGGAGAUAAUAUCUGUCUGGUCUAGCAGGGUCCAACAUGAAGCUCUUCUGAGUUUCGUGCCAGGCACAGGUACAGCUCAAGAAGGAGAAUGCCAGCUGCUUCUGUAGGUCACCCCUGCUAUCCAGUGAUAUAGACAAUUACAAUGGAGGAGAAGAAAGUCAAGAGUCUACACCACUGAGUCUGCCCUGGAGGAGGGCGUGCAGGAGUGACUGACAGGGACGUGUUAAAGAGUUAAGAUCCCACUGGAGGUGAAGAUGUUGGAGGAUGAGGCAUUAGCGUCAAUGACCAGCCAGAGGGGAGGGAAGUGGCGAGGAGGAAACGUGAUUCAGCAGGUGGCACAGUUCUUGGUGAGGACAAGGAGAGGACAAGUGAAGACCUCAAGGAACUGGGAGGCCAAAGUGUUG